CCGACCUUAGCUCAGUUGGUAGAGCGGAGGACUGUAGUGGGUGUAGAACCUGAUAGCCAUCCUUAGGUCGCUGGUUCGAAUCCGGCAGGUCGGA
rfam:Vigna radiata var. radiata cultivar VC1973A chromosome 6, whole genome shotgun sequence